rnacentral:rRNA from 1 species
UGGGGAAUAUUGCACAAUGGGCGAAAGCCUGAUGCAGCGACGCCGCGUGAGGGAUGACGGCCUUCGGGUUGUAAACCUCUUUCAGCAGGGAAGAAGCGAAAGUGACGGUACCUGCAGAAGAAGCGCCGGCUAACUACGUGCCAGCAGCCGCGGUAAUACGUAGGGCGCAAGCGUUGUCCGGAAUUAUUGGGCGUAAAGAGCUCGUAGGCGGCUUGUCACGUCGGUUGUGAAAGCCCGGGGCUUAACCCCGGGUCUGCAGUCGAUACGGGCAGGCUAGAGUUCGGUAGGGGAGAUCGGAAUUCCUGGUGUAGCGGUGAAAUGCGCAGAUAUCAGGAGGAACACCGGUGGCGAAGGCGGAUCUCUGGGCCGAUACUGACGCUGAGGAGCGAAAGCGUGGGGAGCGAACAGG